GCGUGAUAGCCGCUUCCCCAAGGAACAGCGUGGGUUAUCUCACUUCUCCCACGCCUUACGUGGGAUUUCUCACAGCAGAUAUCUUUCCAUCCAGGGCAACCUGGAACCAAGUGUUUGUUUGUUUGCACAUUGUCAGAGGACUCAUCUAGUAAUCAAUGCUAACAGCUUGCCUGACAGAGAAUUGGCACUUAAAGGUGCCUGUUGAAUUUAAUCGGGAAAUCCAAAAUAGAAACACCAGUCUCUAACUCAAGAGCCAGGUCUACAAGAAAAAAACAACAAGUGGGGUAGAAGGAAAUACAAACUGAAGAGUUUAAAGCAAAAAAGAACACCAGGAAAUUUAAUUCUGAACCCAAGGCUUGUGCUGUAAAACAGAAAUUAAGGAGAGGUCUAAUCUAAAAUGGAGUAAAUGGAGGGAUGCCUUCAAGGCCCAAGAAACACUCCCACUUUGGUUCCUGGGUAGCUGGGACCACAUGAACACAUUUCCAUGCUGGACAACCUUGGCUUUAGCUUUAACUGAUUCCUUGCCAUUUUUUUCUAUGUCAGAAGAACACUUUGGGCCGUGAGAUGAUUAUCAAUAACAGUUAUUUUCACCAAUCCUCACAAUUGGAGUUCAAUCCCUGGGAUUCACAUGGUAGAAGAAGAAAAGCAAUUCCUGCAGGUCUUCCUAUGACCUCCAUAUGUGCACCAUGGCAUAUGUAGGUCACAUGUGUCUUGUCUCUAUGUAUAUGCAGGUGAAAUGUAAUUUAAAAAGAAGAAUAUCUGAGAAA
rnacentral:lncRNA from 1 species